rnacentral:rRNA from 1 species
UACGGGGGGAGCAAGCGUUGUUCGGAUUUACUGGGCGUAAAGGGCGCGUAGGCGGCCAGCACAAGUCAGUUGUGAAAUCUCCGAGCUUAACUCGGAAAGGUCAACUGAUACUGUGCGGCUAGAGUGCGGAAGGGGCAACUGGAAUUCUUGGUGUAGCGGUGAAAUGCGUAGAUAUCAAGAGGAACACCUGUGGCGAAGGCGGGUUGCUGGGCCGACACUGACGCUGAGGCGCGAAAGCCAGGGGAGCGAACGGG